rnacentral:rRNA from 1 species
UACGUAGGGUGCGAGCGUUGUCCGGAAUUAUUGGGCGUAAAGAGCUUGUAGGCGGUUUGUCGCGUCUGCUGUGAAAAUCCGGGGCUCAACCCCGGACUUGCAGUGGGUACGGGCAGACUAGAGUGUGGUAGGGGGAGACUGGAAUUCCUGGUGUAGCGGUGGAAUGCGCAGAUAUCAGGAGGAACACCGAUGGCGAAGGCAGGUCUCUGGGCCACUACUG